rnacentral:rRNA from 1 species
GGAUUAGAUACCCUGGUAGUCCACGCUGUAAACGAUGUCUACUUGGAGGUUGUUGUCAUGAAUGAUGGCUUUCGAAGCAAACGCGUUAAGUAGACCGCCUGGGGAGUACGGUCGCAAGAUUAAAACUCAAAUGAAUUGACGGGGGCCCGCACAAGCGGUGGAGCAUGUGGUUUAAUUCGAUGCAACGCGAAGAACCUUACCUACUCUUGACAUCCAAAGAAGCUUGCAGAGAUGCGAUUGUGCCUUAGGGAGCUUUGAGACAGGUGCUGCAUGGCUGUCGUCAGCUCGUGCCG